CAGCCCGUUAUGUUUCUGGCCUUUGUGGAGACAAUGAAACCUGCACUAAGAACCAGCUCCCAGAAGCAACCUCGAGGAAUGGUCAAGAUAAAGUAGAACCUCAAGUGCAAACCCCAUUUGCACGUCAUCAGGGUCAGGUUUGAAUCCACACUCUCCAGGUUUGAUUCUGGUUCAGACCCCACACCAGCAAGGGGCCUGCUUUUUGAGCUCUGGUCACAAGAUGGGUGAACAUGUGAGAUUUCUGCCCUGUUGGGCCAAAGACCUGCGAGAACAGCUUGUGCGUCUUUGGCACCUUUGAAUCGGACCUGGACCUUAUCAGCCCUGAGUCAGCCUGGAACCUGAUCUCCAGACCUGGGUGUGAACACCACUGUCACACACCACCACCCGUAGUGUUUCCAAUAUGGUUGUGCUUGGCCUUGAGUUACAUAUGUAUCAGUCCUAGGUGACUGAUUUCUACUGGUCCAUCAUGUGCUCCUUUAAGGUGAGAUUCCUGGUGUAUAGCGAAGAGUCAUCACAGCAGAGCAGAAAUUGCUGCGAAACUAAAGGUUAACGGGAUUGUCAGUGCAGCAGAGAGACGCAAGCCCGGGGCUGUUCGUUUCUUGCUAUGCAGUGAGAUCGCUGGGCAGAUUCCAGCGAAGUGUUUGCAAAGGAAGGAGCAGACGAGCGGAUGCAGGCUGAAAGUAAAGCUCUGUCCUCCGACACUGCCACUAAUUCUCUGGGGAUGUUUGACUCAGAGGAUGAAAACAGGCAAACCAGAGAGAUUGCAGUUCAUUCAGCCAGCGGGAUUACAGUUCAUUCAGCGGUGAACCUGGGGGCGUUGUUCAUCAGAGAAGCAUUUCAGCUCUUGGCAGUUUGCUGCCCUAUUUCUGCUUUAUACAUGUGUGACUGUCACAUGAUGUUACAUAACUGAUCACGUUACAUCACGAUCCGUCAGCCCCACAUGCAGGAAGAGACAAAGUGUCCUGGAGAACUAAUGCUGGGGAGGUGAUUUCUCUGCUCAAGGGUUGCUGGCCACCAAGCGAGCCAGAACCCCAAACUCCAGCCACUCGCUGCCCUGCUCUCCCCCCGCCAUCUGAGACCCAGCGCCCUGUGUAAACAAACCUGGACAUUUCCAAGUGAUUUGCCUCCAUUUUACAGCCAGGUCACAGAGAGACCAAGUGCCUUGUGCAGGGUCAUCCCCAGGGAGGCAGAGCCAGAAGUGGAACCUGGCUUUCCGGCCUCUGCUCCUCUUACAUAACGGCUUCCCCGCCCAGCGCUGCAUUUCACACAGGGCUUGGGGAAGGGAGCCUGGGUACAAGACGCUCUGAAAGGGAACCAAGAUGCAGCAGGACAGGAGGGCGGGUUCCUCACUCUCUCAGUGCCGUGACUGAACCUCGACUUAAAGGGGAGACAGCACCGGGAGCCUCACGCUCUGUAACCCCCUCACGGCUGGGCCAGACCCCUAACUGCAAAGUUUUUCUGUUCAUUGAAGGCACUUACACACACACCCCUCACCAAAGUGCCUGAGCACUGCACAGUCUUUACUGUAUUUACACACACACACACACACACACACACACACACACACACANNNNNNNNNNNNNNNNNNNNNNNNNNNNNNNNNNNNNNNNNNNNNNNNNNNNNNNNNNNNNNNUUAUACACACACACACACACACACACACACACACACACACCAUGAGAG
ensembl:lncRNA